rnacentral:rRNA from 1 species
AGAAUCAACGCUGGCGGCGUGCCUAACACAUGCAAGUCGAACGAGAAAGUGGAGCAAUCCAUGAGUAAAGUGGCGCACGGGUGAGUAACACGUGACUAACCUACCCUUGAGUGGGGAAUAACUUCGGGAAACCGAGGCUAAUACCGACAUAACACCUACGGGUCAAAGGAGCAAUUCGCUUAAGGAGGGGUCGCGGCAGAUUAGUUAGUUGGCGGGGUAAUGGCCCACCAAGACGGUGAUCUGUA